rnacentral:hammerhead_ribozyme from 1 species
AUUCAUCUGACGAGUCCCAAAUAGGACAAAAUCUUCGUUCUGGAU